GCCGGGAUAGCUCAGCUGGGAGAGCAACAGACUGAAGCAAGCGACUUGGUUUCUGGAGGUCCCGUGUUCAAUCCACGGUCCUGGCA